rnacentral:rRNA from 1 species
AAAGAGUUGAAGGUAGCAAAACGUUCUGUAGAUCGUAAAAAAAUUCGGAAACGAAUUUGUAGAUAUCAGAAGUGACUAUGUUGACAUAAGUAACGUUAAAACAAAAGCACCCUAAGAGUUGUAAGAUUCUUAUGGGUGUUGUUGGCCAUAAUUUCAAGGUUUUCUACGCACCGUCAAACGUCGUGGAGUGAUGCGGUCCCUAAGAGAAUGUAUAUAAAAAUACUCUUGAUGGGCAAUAUGCUAUAUAAUAUAUAUUAUAUCUAAGGCUAAAAAAAAUAUUGAAUUAUCUUUUUUAAAUGAGAUAAUUAUGUUUAUUUUUAUAUGUUUUACAGGAAAAUUAUAAUAUAAAAAUCUAGUAAUAUACCGUACUAAAACCGACACUGGUGAGAUAGAUUAAUAAUUCUAAGGCCUAGAGACAACCAUGUUGAAGGAACUCGGCAAAUUACUCACGUGACUUCGGAGGAAGUGAGGCCCUCUUGAUUAUAUCUGAGGGGGUGAAGAUAAACAGAGGACGGCGACUGUUUAACAAAAACACAGGGCUCUGCAAAGUGGAAACACGAAGUAUAGGGCCUGACGCCUGCCCGGUGCAUGUUUAUAACUUAUUUUUUUUUAUGGAAAAGUAAAUAAACGCAUGUAAACGGCAGCGGUAACACUAACCGUUCUAAGGUAGCGAAAUUCCUAGGCGCAUAAUUGGCGUCCUGCAUGAAUGGCGUAACGAUCGUCCUGCUGUCUCCAACAUGGGCUCUGUGAAAUUGAAUUCUUCGUGAAGAUGCGAAGGUCCUGGCAGGGGACGAAGAGACCCUGUGCACCUUAACUAUAAGCUGAGUACUCUUUGAAUCAAAAAAAGUGUAGAAUAGGUGGGAGAAGCUUUACUGUUUCAAAAGUGAAAUACCACUCUUUUUUUAUUUCAAAGAAAAAAAAGAAUAAUAUCUUUUUAUACUUUGCUUGGUAGUAGAUUUGGGGCGAAGUCCCCCUAAAAAGUACCGGGGGAGUUCAAAGGUUAGCCGGGGGUAGAGUAAUCUAUACCCUAUAGCGUAACUGCAUAAGCUAGCUUAACUGUGAGAAAUACCAUUCAAACAGAAACGAAAGUUGGAAGUAGUGACCCAGACAUACGGUGUGGAAGUAUGUCUGCUCAACGGAUAAAAGGUACGCCAGGGAUAACAGGCUAGUGUUCCCCAAGAGUUCAUAUCGACGGGAAUGUUCGGCACCUCGAUGUCGAAUCAUCGCAUCCUGCGGCUGCAAAAGGUCGCAAGGGUUGAACUGUUCGUUCAUUAAAGCGGUACGUGAUUUGGGUUCAGAACGUCAAGACAGUUCGGUUUCUAUCUCUGUCAGGUGUUUAUGACUGCGGGAAAGUUUUUAUAGUACGAAAGGACCAUAAAGACCAAACCUCUGGUGCAUUUGUUGUUUAGGCAUAGCAAAGAAGCUACGUUUGAAUUAUACAUUAAUUAAUAAAUUAAUUAAUUACUAACUGCUGAAAACAUAUGAAGCAGGAAGAAUUUCCUUAAAUAAAGUCACAAAAUUUUUAAACGCUAAACUCUAUGGCGAAAUAGGCGUAAACUCUCCUUCUGUAAAGAAAACGGUA